UGCGCCGCGCGGUUGUGUGAGCAAGCCGUGGGCUAGGUACCGCUCCAGGUCAGACCAUGGUUGGCACUGAAGAGUGCGGCGACACUACAGAGCUGUGAACGAAGACGGUGAACGGCGAGAUGUGGUGACCGCUUGUCUGACCAGUGCCCAAAGUCGUGAUCUACCUCUGGGGUCAGUGCGUGAGAAGCUGGACUCGGCACCAACGGAGGACGCAGCUCGACAAGGAAGCUAUGCUGUGUUGAGGGACGUCUGCCGGUUACGACCGGAAGCUUUCCGACGGGACUUUACAGAACCCACAACAGCAGUAUGAACCCGGCGUGGAGUUAAUGCGUCAUUGCUCGCAUGAGCAAACGAAGAGCGACUUCCAGGCGAAGUUGAAUUCCUGGAGAUGCGCUGGGACAUGGAUCAUAGCAAGGUGGCUCUCAGUGGCAGCUGACCGCUGAGAUGUGUCUGAAACAGCCAGAAGGAAGAAUCGAGUUGUGGAUCCAGGGCACUACUGAAUGGAAGGCGGGACCAGCUGUAGGGAGACUACAGCAAAGCCGUCGUUCUCAAUCUGCUGAACAGACUUCUGCUGCAGAGGAAAAACUGGGGUUCGACGUGUUAGAACUGGGGUUAGACCGGUUACCAGUGCUCGUGUUCGUCACCUGUUGUUUGUCACUGCUGUGCUGCUGCUGUAUGUCAUGUUUGCCACCUGCUAAACGUUCACAAUGUAUUUUGAGUGAAUGAUAACUUUUUUAGUGUUUGUCUUGAUUUGUAACGAGUAUAUGAAGUAUGUUAACCUUUCAUCAAAUGAAGGACUCCACAUAAAAAUAGUAUAGGCUGUGGUGGUACAGACACAUACCAUUCUUGGCCGACUGUUGUGCAUUGAUCUAGUCGUUGAAGCGUCCUGAAAGUCUGGAAAUAAACAGGCAUAGCCAAAUGGAUUGGUUCUAAUUAUUUUCCUGUGUGGUUUUAUCGUUUCCCUAUUGCGGGAAAACAAGUGGACAAUUUUGUUUGUAUGUAAACAAGUAUGUGUAUACAAGUAUUUGUAUGUUUACAGACAAAAUAAAUAGUCAUUGUCAAUUUUAAUGGGACCCGAUAUGUUUCCCAGUGCGGUUUAUUACUGGCUUCUCCGUACGGGGAAAAAAGGAGACAAGGCAGUGGGGCCAUUGCCAAGUUGGGAAACGGCCGGGGUUCGCGCGGGGAAAAGGUCUGGGAACGUUAGGGGAAAAUCACGGUUUCCCCGAUCGGGGAAGGUCUCCAGUAAGCAUAAACCCGUAUAGCCGGGUGGGGGAAUGUGCGGGGCUCGCACAGGAUCUUCUUGGGGAAAAUGUUCGAUAGCCCCGUACGGGGAACCGACCUCAACAACGGGUUUUUACCAUAGUCGGCGCGGGGUUAGCUUGGGGGACGUUUGGGGAACGCUUGGGCAGUUAUACCGUUUCCCCGUACGAAUCCCGCACAAAGUUCCCCGUACAAAGUGUCUCAAAUCCCAAGCGAACGCUCCGUUUUCCCCAAGAGAA